rnacentral:rRNA from 1 species
AGUGAACGCUGGCGGUAGGCCUAACACAUGCAAGUCGAACGGCAGCACAGUAAGAGCUUGCUCUUACGGGUGGCGAGUGGCGGACGGGUGAGGAAUACAUCGGAAUCUACUUUUUCGUGGGGGAUAACGUAGGGAAACUUACGCUAAUACCGCAUACGACCUACGGGUUAAAGCAGGGGAUCUUCGGACCUUGCGCGAUUGAAUUAGCCGAUGUCGGAUUAGCUAGUUGGCGGGGUAAAGGCCCACCAAGGCGACGAUACGUAGCUGGUCUGAGAGGAUGAUCAGCCACACUGGAACUGAGACACGGUCCAGACUCCUACGGGAGGCAGCAGUGGGGAAUAUUGGACAAUGGGCGCAAGCCUGAUCCAGCCAUACCGCGUGGGUGAAGAAGGCCUUCGGGUUGUAAAGCCCUUUUGUUGGGAAAGAAAAGCAGCAGGUUAAUACCCCGAUGUUCUGACGGUACCCAAAGAAUAAGCACCGGCUAACUUCGUG